GAACAAGGGGAAUAUGACUGUUUAAUUAAAAAAAAGAAUUGCAAUAGUCCCUGUGGAUGCUGACGCAAUGUGAUUUCUUUCCAAUGCUCUGAAUGUUAAAGUGAAGAAAUUCAACCAAGCAUGGGUAAACGGUGGGAGUAACUAUGACUCUCUUAAGGUAUCGAAAUGCCUCAGCAUCUAAUUAGUGAUGCACAUGAAUGGAUUAACUAGAUUACC
rnacentral:ncRNA from 1 species